rnacentral:rRNA from 1 species
UGGGGAAUAUUGGACAAUGGGCGCAAGCCUGAUCCAGCAAUGCCGCGUGGGUGAAGAAGGUCUUCGGAUUGUAAAGCCCUUUCGGCGGGGACGAUGAUGACGGUACCCGCAGAAGAAGCCCCGGCUAACUUCGUGCCAGCAGCCGCGGUAAUACGAAGGGGGCUAGCGUUGCUCGGAAUUACUGGGCGUAAAGGGCGCGUAGGCGGCUCUGUUAGUCAGGCGUGAAAUUCCUGGGCUCAACCUGGGGACUGCGCUUGAUACGGCGGGGCUUGAGGGCAGGAGAGGCUCGCGGAAUUCCCAGUGUAGAGGUGAAAUUCGUAGAUAUUGGGAAGAACACCGGUGGCGAAGGCGGCGAGCUGGCCUGUGACUGACGCUGAGGCGCGACAGCGUGGGGAGCAAACAGG